GUGUGGAGUGUAGGAGAACCAGCCUGGGAUGUGGGAAAAGAAAUGGAAUUGUGGUCCAGCGCCGACACGUUGUUGCUGUCUGACCAGGAACCAACAUUACUUUUCUUUAAAACUCAUCUAUGUGCAGGACUCAAGGAAAAUUAAGAUCUGGAGACCCAGGUUGUAACUGGACUGUGUGAAGCCAGCGUCAAUAUUUCUAUCAAACAAGGCACAUAUUUCAAGGAAGGAUUUACUAACUAUUAUUGAAUGAACAGUAUGUCUAUUUUUAAUUGUUGCUUCUGUGCUGCAAGAUCCAUUGUUUUACUAAUCUGGACUUCCAUCUUCAUGUUUAAUGUCUUCUUAUUUUACAACUAGGAAUUAUUGUUUCUCAUCUCCCAGGACUAAACAUGGUCCCCAAAAGACAUUAAGUGGUUGGUUGAAGAUGAACAUGUUAGGUGGCUUUUAUUUAUUUAAUCCACCCAACUCAUCAAAAGCCAUACUAUUUGUCGCCCCUCCCCAAUCCCCAGGGCGGUGUGUCUACAGCGUGAUCACCUUAUACCCUCUCUCAUGCGAGCACAGCAGCCAGCUUUACACAGAACAAGCUGUGUAUGUUCCAGCAGCCAACUCUCCAGGAAUCCAGCUCCUUCCGCCCACACGUGGAAGUUCCCUCCCACGGACUGGGCUUUGCCUUCUUCCUGUGAACCUUUUCCAAGGCAAAAUUGCAAAGACUUUUAUUCACGUCUGCCCAUGGCUUUACUUCCUGAUUUUUUCCCCAACGCCUAUGCUUCUUUCUCUAUUUAUUUCCAAUGAUAUGCCUUAAUAUAUCCAUUGGGUUAGAAAUUCUC
rnacentral:lncRNA from 1 species